UGAUAAGGGUGAGGUCGGACGUUCGAGUCGUCCCAGGCCCACCACUGAUCCAGAAGGUUGGGCGUCGAUCUGAAGCUCUUGUUGUGCUGAGCGUGCUCUUAGGGGCCAUAGCUCAGUUGGGAGAGCGCGUGCUUUGCAAGCAUGAGGUCGUCGGUUCGAUCCCGUCUGGCUCCACCAUUUCCUGCAUUCCGAUGAGGGAUGCGGUCGAGAUGGUCGGUGGUGAAGCGCUUCAAGCGUGAGAGAAGAACAUCCGGUUCUUUUCUCUUCUGUCCGCACAAUCUGUUUCGCUGAUCCUCAGCAAGCCCCCAUGUGGGCGAGGAUGAGCGCUGCUGUCUGACAUUGUGAAUCUGGGCGUUUUCGAUUUGCUGGCCGCAAGGCUGGCGGGUCGUGACAAUCAAGCUUUCGGGCUUGAGAGGACACGAUCAUCGGGUGCUGACCGCACCGGUGUCGAAAAUGUCGAAGCUGGUCUUUAGCGUCCAGCCCUCUCGCUGAUCCGCCUGGUGCGGAUUGAUGAGAACCUCAGCCGAGGAGUGGGCAUGGACGAUGAGAACGAUCAAGUGUCUUAAGGGCAUUCGGUGGAUGCCUUGGCGCUAAGAGGCGAAGAAGGACGUGGUACGCUGCGAUAUGCUU
rnacentral:rRNA from 1 species